AUUGGACGCUGGCGGCAGGCCUAACACAUGCCAGUCGAGCGGAUGAAGGGAGCUUGCUCCUGGAUUCAGCGGCGGACGGGUGAGUAAUGCCUAGGAAUCUGCCUGGUAGUGGGGGAUAACGUCCGGAAACGGGCGCUAAUACCGCAUACGUCCUGAGGGAGAAAGUGGGGGAUCUUCGGACCUCACGCUAUCAGAUGAGCCUAGGUCGGAUUAGCUAGUUGGUGGGGUAAAGGCCUACCAAGGCGACGAUCCGUAACUGGUCUGAGAGGAUGAUCAGUCACACUGGAACUGAGACACGGUCCAGACUCCUACGGGAGGCAGCAGUGGGGAAUAUUGGACAAUGGGCGGAAGCCUGAUCCAGCCAUGCCGCGUGUGUGAAGAAGGUCUUCGGAUUGUAAAGCACUUUAAGUUGGGAGGAAGGGCAGUAAGUUAAUACCUUGCUGUUUUGACGUUACCAACAGAAUAAGCACCGGCUAACUUCGUG
rnacentral:rRNA from 1 species